rnacentral:lncRNA from 1 species
CUGAAUGGUAGGCUCACCCAGCCUCCAUCUUUGCCCUCGGAAACAGUCAUCACAGAAGGAAGUCCCUGGCUUGUAUUUAACCAAGAGUUCCUGAGGCACAGCCAGGGCACCUGGGUCAGCAGUCUGAAAGGGGAAAUAGGAUGAUCCAAGGUCUUCAGGAAGAGAGAAUGGAAGACUCGGGUGGGUGUGUCUUGUUUAUAUAGACAGGUUCUCUCUGUGCGGCUUGUACUGAUCUCUAGAACUCACUGAGAUCUGCCUGCUCUGCCUGGGAUUGAAGGCUAUGCCCCCAAGUCUACUUCUAGCAAC